rnacentral:tRNA from 1 species
GCCCUGGUGGUUCAGUGGUAGAACUAUCGCCUUCCAUGCUGGAGACUGGGUUUGAUUCCCGGUCAGUGCA